UACAGAGGGGGCAAGCGUUAUUCGGAAUUAUUGGGCGUAAAGGGCGCGUAGGCGGUUUUUUAAGUCGGAUGUGCAAUCCCCAGGCUCAACCUGGGAACUGCGCUUGAUACUGGUAAACUAGAGUUUAGUAGAGGGAAGUGGAAUUCCACGUGUAGCGGUGAAAUGCGUAGAUAUGUGGAGGAACACCAGUGGCGAAGGCGGCUUCCUGGACUAAAACUGACACUGAGGCACGAAAGCGUGGGUAGCAAACAGG
rnacentral:rRNA from 1 species